AACAUUUCUUUUAGAUUUUCAUUAAAAGUAAAGUCUGCCCACUGUUUGAAUAAUAAAGGGCCGCGGUAUUUUGACCGUGCAAAGGUAGCAUAAUCAUUAGUCUCUUAAUUGGGGAAUGGAAUGAAUGGCUUAAUGAUUUUUUUCUUUUAUUUAAAGUAUUAAUGGAAUUUUGAUUUUAAGUGAAAAUACUUAAAUUUUUUAAUAAGACGAUAAGACCCUAUAGAAUUUUAUUUUUGAAAAAUAUUUUUAUAUUUAAAAAAGUUUAAAUGGGGCAUUUAUUGAAUAUAAUUAAUUUCUAUAAAAUAUAUUUAAAAAUAUCUUUAUUUUUAGAUUUUAAAAAAAUUACCUUAGGGAUAACAGCGUGAUAAUUUUUGAGAGUUCAUAUCGACAAAAUAGUUUGCGACCUCGAUGUUGAAUUAAAAUACCUUUAUAAAGCAGCUUUUAUAUUAAGGUAGUCUGUUCGACUAUAAAAUUUUUACAUGAUUUGUUU
rnacentral:rRNA from 1 species